AUUGAACGCUGGCGGAAUGCUUUACACAUGCAAGUCGAACGGCAGCACGGACUUCGGUCUGGUGGCGAGUGGCGAACGGGUGAGUAACGUAUCGGAACGUGCCCAGUCGUGGGGGAUAACGUAGUGAAAAUUACGCUAAUACCGCAUACGAUCUAUGGAUGAAAGCGGGGGAUCGCAGGACCUCGCGCGAUUGGAGCGGCCGAUAUCAGAUUAGGUAGUUGGUGGGGUAAAGGCCCACCAAGCCAACGAUCUGUAGCUGGUCUGAAAGGACGACCAGCCACACUGGAACUGAGACACGGUCCAGACUCCUACGGGAGGCAGCAGUGGGGAAUGUUGGACAAUGGGCGAAAGCCUGAUCCAGCCAUUCCGCGUGCAGGAUGAAGGCCCUCGGGUUGUAAACUGCUUUUGUACAGAAAGAAAAGGUUUCUACUAAUACUAGGAGCUCAUGACGGUACUGUAAGAAUAAGCACCGGCUAACUACGUGCCAGCCGCCGCAGUAA
rnacentral:rRNA from 1 species